rnacentral:rRNA from 1 species
AUGAUGAACCGCAUCCGGCAUAAUUCUCCAUCACCGAUCCAAUGCCUACGAGCUUUUCACAUAUUGUUCUCCGCUUAUUUACUUUUCUGUUGCUAUUAUUACAAUCACUACAAAACCCAAAAAUAUUACUUUUGCUACCGUUACCGUUACUUCCAUAUUACUUUGCUACUAAAUACUUUACUGCAGAUACUAAGUUAUCCAGGUGUGGUUGAAUUGACAACUCAACUGCUAAUACUUGAGAAUAUUCUUUGGCUCCCCUUGUGUCGAAUCAAUAAAUUUGGGUUGAAUACUCUACCCUCGAAAACUGUUGCGAUCCCCUAUACUUGUGGGUUAUCAAGACUAUUUUCUGGCGCCGUUGUCGGGGAGCAUAGCUCUAUUCUUUGA